rnacentral:rRNA from 1 species
UACGUAGGUGGCAAGCGUUGUCCGGAUUUACUGGGCGUAAAGAGCGCGCAGGCGGUCGUUCAAGUCGGAUGUGAAAGCCCCCGGCUCAACUGGGGAGGGUCAUUCGAUACUGAUCGACUCGAAGGCAGGAGAGGGAAGCGGAAUUCCCGGUGUAGUGGUGAAAUGCGUAGAUAUCGGGAGGAACACCAGAGGCGAAGGCGGCUUCCUGGCCUGUUCUUGACGCUGAGGCGCGAAAGCCAGGGGAGCGAACGGGAUUAGAAACCCUCGUAGUCC